rnacentral:tRNA from 3 species
GGAGGGGUCGCAUAGAGGUCUAGUGCGGUGGUCUUGAAAACCAUUGUGCCGCAAGGCACCGCGAGUUCGAAUCUCGCCCCCUCCG